AACCUUGCGGAGAGGCGACAUCGUAAUCAAUGAGGUUCUACCGAGGUGAGAUUAUUGCUAGUUGAAAAAAAAUAUAUUCAAAAUUAAACUUCAAGUACAAUCCCUUGGACAAAAACGUUUUGUAUUGAAUAGUUUAUUAUAUGAAUAA